rnacentral:rRNA from 2 species
GAGGGGCUCGCGGCCUAUCAGCUAGUUGGUAGGGUAACGGCCUACCAAGGCGAUGACGGGUAGCUGGUCUGAGAGGACGACCAGCCACACGGGGACUGAGACACGGCCCCGACUCCUACGGGAGGCAGCAGUGGGGAAUUUUCCGCAAUGGGCGAAAGCCUGACGGAGUGACGCCGCGUGGGGGACGAAGGCCUUCGGGUCGUAAACCCCUGUCAGAGGGAAAGAUGGGUGUCGGCGUGAACAGCGCCGGCAUCUGACGGUACCUUCAGAGGAAGCCCCGGCCAACUCUGUGCCAGCAGCCGCGGUAAGACAGAGGGGGCAAGCGUUGCUCGGAAUUACUGGGCGUAAAGGGCGUGUAGGCGGAGCGGCAAGUCGGUCGUGAAAGCCUCCGGCUCAACUGGAGAACGUCGAUCGAUACUGCCGCCCUUGAGGGUAGCAGAGGAGACUGGAAUUCCCGGUGUAGCGGUGAAAUGUGUAGAGAUCGGGAGG